AAAACUAAAGUUGUUUAGAGUUGAGUUUAUUUCAUUAUUAAUUAUUAUUGAAAAAAUAAAAAAUUUUAGAAACGAAUUCUAAGUACAUUUUUCCUAACGUGAACGCAUAAUUCUAUAACUUAUUUUGUCAACGUUGACCGGAAGUCUUAAAUAUCCAUUUUUUUCUUUCCAAACCGUGAUGUUAUAAGUAGAAGGCUGAAUCAGCUCAGUUAGUAGCGUGGUUCCGUGGUACAGUCUUCAUGUUUAUCCUGGUGAGUACCUUAAUGUAAUAUUAAUUUUUAAAGUAAUAUGUACCCUGUGCAUUCCUUUGAACCACACAAGUCCAAUUUGGCUUAUAGUGGCCAAGCGGAUAUGCUAAAUCAAUAAUUAUUCUGAUCUACCGUUGUUAUCCUUAUGUGAAACAAACGGAUUGAACCGAAUCAAUACAUAGCAUUUAAGUAAAAGUUUUCAUGCACUGAAGCUAGGUUUUAUAUGCACAUAAACAUUACUUAUAUUGGAAAAUACUUGGAAAAGUGGAUAUAAUGUGCAUUUUUUCAAUUGAUAACUAAUAAUUAACUUUAUUCUCAGGUUACUGUCCUGCUGGAGGGAGCAACGAAUUUGGCGAUAUUUGUGAACAUUUUGUGUAGUAUAUUAUGAAUUGGUACAGCGGGACUAUUCAUGAGCAACUAAAUGACAAUGUACUCGAUUUCGAGUGCCUUGAUACCAGUUUCAUGAUAUAACGUUUCCGUACGUUUCGUAGCAUAAAAGAUCGAAAAACAUUUCAAUUCUGUACAGGUUACAAACCAAGUUUCUUCCUGAUUUGCAAGGUUUACUGGAACUAAUUUGAGAUACUUCAGACUGCUUAACAGCAACAAUGAGUACCAUCGACAAAUACAACAUUUCUAGAUUCAA